rnacentral:tRNA from 1 species
UCCCUGUUGGCUCAGAGGAUAAAGCGUCUGCCUGCAACGCAGGAGACCCGGGUUUGAUCCCUGGGUUGGGAA